rnacentral:misc_RNA from 1 species
AUUUGCAACAAGCUACUGUAUAAUAAGAGUAAUAGAAAAGAAUUAUCAGUGAAGAAAGAAAAAAAGAAAAGAAUGGAGGAAAUAGGGUUUCUAGGGAUUGGUAUUAUGGGAAAAGCAAUGGCGGUGAACUUGCUGCGCCAUGGUUUCAAGGUUACUGUUUGGAAUCGCACCCUCUCCAGGUGUGAUGAGCUAGUGCAACAUGGAGCCUCUGUUGGAGAAACUCCUGCAGCAGUAAUCAAGAAAUGCAAGUAUACAAUUGCAAUGUUGUCUGAUCCAGCUGCAGCUCUUUCAGUGGUUUUUGACAAACACGGAGCACUUGAGCACGUAUGUGCCGGAAAGGGCUAUAUAGACAUGUCAACCGUUGAUGCUGAUACUUCUUCACAGAUUAGCCAGGCCAUUACAUCAAAGGGUGGUUCAUUCCUUGAAGCUCCAGUUUCAGGGAGCAAAAAGCCAGCUGAAGAUGGACAACUAGUAAUCCUAGCAGCUGGUGACAAGGAUCUGUACGAUCAAGUAGUACCUGCUUUUGAUGUCCUGGGAAAGAAAUCUUUUUUCUUGGGAAAGAUUGGGAAUGGAGCAAAAAUGAAACUUGUUGUUAAUAUGAUAAUGGGCAGUAUGA